GAGAGCUGGUAGCCACUAGAGGGGAGGAGACUGCCGGCUUUACUGAGCGCUUCACGCUAGAGCUUGAAGGUGCAGAAGCUGUCACAAGACUGGUUGCCCAACGAAAUGGUUUAAAAUAUGUCAUGAAGUUAAUCCAAGCACUAGGUGUUUAUUGAUUCAAGUUGAUGACCUUUGGAUCUUAGUGGAAUUCCAUGAAAGAAAAACACACCAAAACCACCUUCUUGUGUUUGAGCACUAUGAGCCUAGCCCGGUGAGAAGAUAUAGUGGAGAAUUUUCUGAGAAUGAUUUAUGAAGUCAACCAGCAUCACUCUAGAACAACUAAUGCCUUUCCAGCAUAGGCUACACAGAAACAGGACCUGUACACAUUUUGGAAAGGAUCAGUACAGCUACCAAUACAGCAGUCAAUAUCAUCUUCUGUUUGGGGUGCAAGGCAAAAUCAACUUAUCUCCACUCAGCAUCAUCAGCCAGAACUGGUCAGAUAAAGCGGUCAUAAAGGUAGAAGACACCUUUACAACUAGCAGACAAGUAUGCUCAGAUUAUAGUUUAAGGGGUGUCAAGAUUUUGUCUGGCAAAAGAAGCCACUGUACCUGCUUAACCUGAAAAAAAUGAAUUUUCAAAAAUUAGAUUUCAGGAACUUUUUUCAGAUGUUUUGUUUGGGGUUUUUUUCUUUUUCUCUUCCUUCUCUCCAGAGUUUGGAAUACUGAAUUUCCAAAUCCUUUACAUAGUCUCAAUAAAGAGAAUCAAGUUCAGCCCUGUGAGCAACAUUAGCUUAGUGCUCUGCUAGUCAGAAAAGUCAAAUUGGUACUGAUAAUGUCACUCUUUAACUGCUUUACUCUCUAACGGCUUUUUCUUACCCCAUCAUUGGGGUUCUAAGUGGAGCUAAAUAACAGCAGUAGAUGGAUGGAUGGAUGGAUGGAUGGAUGGAUGGAUGGAUGGAUGGACGGAAGCAAGCAAGCAAGGAAGGAAGCAAGGAAGCAAGCAAGGAAGGACGAAUAGGUGUUCGAAUUAAUGUAAGUGACAAUGAAUGAAUACUGGAAAAUGCACUUGGGUCUGGAAUCUGGGGACGGCAUAAUUUCUAUAUUCAUAUAUAAUUAGCUCUCCAUCAGUUUUGCUCCUCAUUUUUGAUUUUGUGGCAGCAAAUGAAAGCAGACGUUCUUAAUUGGUAAGUUUUGUAACAUCAGCAAUGAGAGUUAUUGCUCCAGAUAAGACCUGGUAUUUACUUGGCAAUAAAUAGCCAUUGUUAAUUCUUCUCCCAAAACAAGCUGCUGUUCUUAUAAAAAAUAACACAUCAUUUCUCAGUGAAAGAAUGUUUAAAGGAGUAUGUCCUUUCCUGGUAUUUUUGUACUAUGGAAAAUAAUUAAUAUAUCUUUAUCUGUGCAUUUUCCCCUCUCUUCACAUGAUGCCGUCCAUCUGCACAGCUAAUGGCAAUAGUUUCAGCACUUUAUAACCCACUUUUGAAAUACUCACCUUUGUUUUAAACAUACAGAAUAUGUAAAGUAGAUUCAAAGAAAUGAAGGAAAGGAACGUGUAAAAGGCACAAGAGACUUUAUUCACAAAAAUAUGUUGGAUCCAGAAUCCUGAUAUAUUUUGCCAUUGGAGAUUCCAGAGCAAUCACAAUUUAAAUGGUGCUGUUUGGAACACUGGCCUGUACAGGCCUUAAGUAACCACCACAGAAAUUUUAUUGUGGUUCCUACUUCUGUUGUCAGUCUUUGGGAAAGGACAGCCUGAAACACAUUUGCUUUUUUGUUAUCCAGCAGGUACACAUUUAUUGGCUGGGCUUGUUGCUGUUUCUGCAAGUCCUGAAACAAUUUGCAAAUGCACAUUUCAACAUGCCUCUGUUGAAUUCAAAUAUUUGAAUACUGAAUAGCUAAGAUGAUAGAAAGUAAUUCCAUUAAGAUCCCUGAUAACAAAAAGGGUUUCAGAGAGAUGAUUUUGAACAUGUAAGUAUACUGAAAGUGCAUCAGGCUUUAUGCUACAUAGCUGUCACGUAUUUGCCAGAGCUUGGUGUGGAGUGUAAAUAAAGAUGGUCAUUACCUUGUCACCUCUUAACUGUUAAUCUGCCCAGAAAAAGCUGGAUGUAUUGUAUUCAGAUACUCUUCCUGUUGAUUUCUUACCUGUGAUGAAUAAAUAAACAAAAAGACA